UACGGGGGGGGCAAGCGUUGUUCGGAAUUACUGGGCGUAAAGGGCUCGUAGGCGGCCAACUAAGUCAGACGUGAAAUCCCUCGGCUUAACCGGGGAACCGCGUCUGAUACUGGAUGGCUAGAGUUUGGGAGAGGGAUGCGGAAUUCCAGGUGUAGCGGUGAAAUGCGUAGAUAUCUGGAGGAACACCGGUGGCGAAGGCGGCAUCCUGGACCAACACUGACGCUGAGGAACGAAAGCUAGGGGAGCAAACAGG
rnacentral:rRNA from 1 species